UACGGGGGGUGCGAGCGUUGUCCGGAUUCACUGGGCGUAAAGGGCGCGUAGGCGGCUUGUUCAGUCCGGUCUUUAAGAGCGGGGCUCACCCCCGUGGUGGACCGGGGACGGAUGAGCUGGGGCGCGGUAGGGGAGACUGGAAUUCCUGGUGUAGCGGUGAAAUGCGCAGAUAUCAGGAGGAACACCGGUGGCGAAGGCGGGUCUCUGGGCCGUAACUGACGCUGAGGAGCGAAAGCAUGGGGAGCGAACAGG
rnacentral:rRNA from 1 species